CUUCUCUGCUGUAGGGGGGUCAGUAGAGGUCUGAGACGGACCAAGUGAACCAUAGUCUUUUCACUGCGGACUUAUGAAGAAGGCUCAGUCUCAUCAUAUAUGUGGUCUUUUGGCCACCAAGUUGCAGAUGCUAUGACGAUGCCAACCUGGCUUUCCUGGGCAGACAACCUCACCAAUGUGUCCUGUAACCUCACCUCCUCAGAGCCCAUCACCACUAGGGAGUAAUAAAAAAAGGCUGCGAUUAUGGAUCAGCCUGUGAAUAUCCAUGUCCAGUGGAGAAGGAAUUACAGAUGUCAGACUUCCUGCCUCCUGCACCCCAUAAUGAUCCUUGGUCCAUACUCCCAGAGGGAUAAAGAAUAGGGAAACUUCCAAUGGAAUGAGUGGGAUAUGACAUUCUGGUGGGAAUUAUAUGGAACUGUACCCCUAUUAUUGCACAAACUUGUCAACUAUUGUUAAGUCACUAAUAAAAUUUUCUUGAGUUCCC